UCCGAUGUAGUAUAGUGGUUAGAACAUCUGGCUUUCACCCAGAAAACCCGGGUUCGAUCCCCGGCAUCGGAA
rfam:Bodo saltans strain Lake Konstanz genome assembly, contig: BS_scaffold1353